ACCUCCGAGCCUCGUGUGUGUGAGAUGCGUCGUGUCGGACUGAGUAAUGCGUUCCUCCACGUGGGUCAGCUCUGCAGCCAAAACCUCGGCGACGCAGCCGCCACAUUCCUGCCUCGUCCACAGUGAAGCCAAAGCACUCUAAGCACACACAGAUCCUGGAAUCGGAGCUCGGGCCAAACCAGCGACGCUGCUGUCAGGUUUCUUCUGGCCUCACAGACUUCAGGCUGAAGCAGCCUAACACGGAUGAUAACGGGAGUCUUUGUUUUCAGGAGCUUCGCCCAUGACAUGCAGACGGAGUUAGAUGGUCUGAUGAAAAGUCUAAAAUACUUGUUGCACAAAAGGCUUUUUCCAGUUCCUUGGAAUGGAUGCAGACCCCCUUCCAGAGAGCUCAGUGUGGCUGGCCUGAUGCUGGGCACUCUGCUAUAGAUAGAUCCGGCGUAGGUAGGAGGAAUCUGGAGCUCUGCUGUCAGUACGGAGAGUAAAACGUUGGUUAGUGUUUGAGGACGACCACAUUCAGGCCUCCUGAAGGAACAGCUGAGCUGACACGGUUCAGCUUUAUGAUUUUAAUGAAGCCAUGAUUUUCACUCCUCCCGUGGCCUUUGGAUUCCUUUGGCGGUUAUGUCAGGGGUCAGAAGUACAUCUUACCAGCAGAUGAAGUGACACAAUGCUGGUGCAAAUCCUGCUGGCUCAAGUAUCACCAGCAUGGGGGGGGGGGAACGGCAGACACUGAGGAAGACGAGCACUGCUUUGGCCUCUGAAAACUGACUUUUCUGGACAAAGCAUGAGACGCCGGACACGGCGAAGAAUAAGGAAGCACAUUCCUGUCUUUUCACGCGUUGAACCUCCUCCAGUCGGCUGUGUGAAAGGACCAGAUGCCCCUCUCCGUGCUGGCAGAUGGAGGGAUUGUUUCCACAGUUUAAUGAAGGGAGGCUGCUGGAGGCUUAGCCCAGUUACCUUGGUCAUUGAUACGCUCUCGAGGCAUCCACUGGCAUUGUUUGGUGUCAAUAGAAGGGACGGGUCCUAAAGCUGGUUGGUGGGACUCCUGGCAGACUACUUUUUUUUUUUGUGAAGCUGAACAGUUGGAGGGUUUUGGGUUUUACGACCUCCGUGCUGAGAUGGGCAGGAUACAGAAGGGUGUGAUGGGACAGAGGUGUGAAGUGUCUGAUGGGGCAGGAAUGGAGUCUACAGGGAGCGAUGGCGUCUCUUUUCAAAGGCUAAUCAAAGAAAGCCGAUGGCUUCGGUCGUUCUGGAGGGAUUAUCACAUGUUUGAAGCUUUUGUUGUGCUUACAGUAACAGAAAAGGUCACAUGAUAACCCAACAAAGCAGCAGUUAAUCAUCUGGCUGAUGGAAGUGGUUGUUUCACAGAUGUCAGCAUCACUAAUGUGACUUUUCUGUCAUGCAUAAUGAUUUUGUUGCAUGCGAUGACUGUCUGGGUCACAUGGUUGGUAGCCUCAGACUGUAACCACGUGGCACAACGAGCUCUGCAGUUUGGGACUUUUUAUUAGACAAAGGGCAGCUGUGUUGACUCUGACCUUUGACCUCUGUGUUGGCUUUAUCUGAGUGAGUGCUGUGACAAGUAAGGCUUUUAUGGGAGGAGUUAUAAAACGAUAAAGCUGAGGGAGGAGGCUUUUUGUUUUCUUCUUAAAUGAGUCCGUCUUUGGUUCUGUGGGAAUGAAAAGUGGAGCCUUGAACAGAAAUCUUAUCCCAUAUUUCUUUCCACUGAAUCCAUUUGGUGGGUUGGUUUGGCUGCCAUCCAUAUCCGGCUGCUUAUCAGCUGUUGCACAUUAGGCCCAAACCAUACCAGGCUGUGAAUCACUGAUGGAGGACAAAAUGGGGAUCUGCUAACUGGCUGUAAAAUGGCUGGUUGUGAUUCUUCUGUCAGUAAACGAUCUUAAAAAAACUCUUGGGGCUUCCAGUCUUUGGCUUUCAGAGUUUUCCAGGCCGUUUGCAGGCGUUUGCGGCCUCCCUCCGAACCACAGCGAGCUCUGCUGUGGAGCACGUAGCCGGACUUUGUGUUGCUGAAGCUCAUUCAGGCUGUUUGUAAUGAACACAUUCAGCUUAAUGUGAAGGAACAAUGAUAAUCUGUCCACUCAGGCUGUUUGUGGCAGUGUUUCCAAGCAGAUAAAAGCAGCUUUAAAUUAAUUUUUAACUUGAGCUGAAGUGGAGAAAAGGAAAGUUUGUUUGAAGAGGAAAAAAUCACAAACAAAGGUAUCGCAGGACCUUUACAACUGUAAAUCCUUGAAACACACUGUGGCAGAGUAAUGCAGUUCAAAUGAAAAUAAUAAGAAAGGGAAAAGUUCAAAUACAUAAAACAAACCUUAAAAUGGCUACAAUUGAAGUACAAUUUUGGGAACCAAAAACUAGUAAGAAGAGUAAAUAUAGAUUCAAAUAUAACUAGACUGUGCUCUAAGUUACAGGUAUACAAAGUACUUCAGGUGUCUUUUUGUGAUAUAUGUACCCUCCCUAUGCAGGACAUAAACGGGGUCUUUCUUAUUACUCACACAGUGAAUGAGUGUGUGCCUGCUAACAGUGUAACAUGUGCUGUGGCCUGUGGCUGUGACUGAGUGAACCACUCAGUAAAAUGAGUGAGCGCGGAUUUUCAUGUCGAUUUGUUACGUAACCUCAGCUCGGGCGCUCCUGUCCUCUGUUCGCCGGUCCCUGCUGGUUUAGAAGAUGUUUAUACACACACACACACACACACACACACACACACACACACACACACACACACACACACACACACACACACACACACACUCUGUGUUCCCUACCGAGCUGUUUUCAGGCUGACGUUGGACAGUUUUUACAGAAACUGAGACUUCCGGUGCUCAUCCUUGGCUCUGAUGUUUGUUUUUCCUGGAUGUGGAACACCGUGGUUGUUUUUGUUGGCCUGUCGGCCUGAGCCCCGUCCCAGCUCCGGGAAAUUAUAGUAAAAGUGGAAUAAUGUCGCAGAUGUGACAGUAACAUCGGAGGCCUUACGUAACUCAAUCCUCGAGUGUUUGAUCUUUACUGUGCUCCCGAAUACGCCGGACCUGCUGGGACAGGCCUCAGUCAGCCUGAGAGGCGUACACUUCUUUUCUUUUAGCCCUCCGGGACGCAAGCGUCCAAGUUACACCACGCAGGGGUUAAAGGUCAGAGGAACCAGGAAGGGGAGCUUUUUCAACACCCCAGGACAUGGAAGGACAAAAUGUACUCUUACUUGUUUUGUUUGUGUGGAACUUGAAAAAUGCAAGAGAAGAAAGUGUUCCUGUUUUUAGAAAAAGGCCCACACCCACUCCACAGACUAAGGUUCGGGCCAUUAACGUUCCUUAAGUUUGACAGGAGUAAUAUCAGUGACUAAACACAUAAAACCUGACAAUAAAUCACUGAAAUCCCUCGAGUGAGGCAAGAAAACGUGUUUUUGUAGCAAGAAGCAGAGAAAUCAGGUUUUCGGGGCUUUUAAAACCAUCUGUAACCACAAAUCGAAGUAAAACGAGCCUCGGGGGAAUGAUGUCAAAUAUAACAAAAUGAAGGGCUGUGAGUCAUGCUGGUUUACCUGAUUGAAUCAGCCUGACUCAUACGGGUCCACACGGAGGCUUGAAUGAGCGUAAUUCCUCUAAUGUGACUCAGAGGACGUGUUUGAGCAGGACUGUGAAUGGUUGCGA